rnacentral:rRNA from 1 species
GACGAACGCUGGCGGCGUGCUUAACACAUGCAAGUCGAACGGAAAGGCCCUGCUUUUGUGGGGUGCUCGAGUGGCGAACGGGUGAGUAACACGUGAGUAACCUGCCCUUGACUUUGGGAUAACUUCAGGAAACUGGGGCUAAUACCGGAUAGGAGCUCCUGCUGCAUGGUGGGGUUGGAAAGUUUCGGCGGUUGGGGAUGGACUCGCGGCUUAUCAGCUUGUUGGUGGGGUAGUGGCUUACCAAGGCUUUGACGGGUAGCCGGCCUGAGAGGGUGACCGGCCACAUUGGGACUGAGAUACAGCCCAGACUCCUACGGGAGGCAGCAGUGGGGAAUAUUGCACAAUGGGCGGAAGCCUGAUGCAGCAACGCCGCGUGCGGGAUGACGGCCUUCGGGUUGUAAACCGCUUUCGCCUGUGACGAAGCGUGAGUGACGGUAAUGGGUAAAGAAGCACCGGCUAACUACGUG